UAGUCCACGCCGUAAACGAUGAUUACUCGCUGUAGGCGAUACACAGUCUGUGGCUAAGCGAAAGUUUUAAGUAAUCCACCUGGGGAGUACGAUCGCAAGAUUGAAACUCAAAGGAAUUGACGGGGGCCCGCACAAGCGGAGGAACAUGUGGUUUAAUUCGAUGAUACGCGAGGAACCUUACCUGGACUUAAAUGUAGAUUGCAUAGCUUAGAGAUAGGCUUUUCUUCGGACUAUUUACAAGGUGCUGCAUGGUUGUCGUCAGCUCGUGCCGUGAGGUGUCGGGUUAAGUCCCAUAACGAGCGCAACCCCUAUCCUUAGUUGCCAGCGGGUCAUGCCGGGGACUCUGAGGAGACUGCCUCCGUAAGGAGUGAGGAAGGUGGGGAUGACGUCAAAUCAUCAUGGCCUUUAUGCCCAGGGCUACACACGUGCUACAAUGGCCAGUACAGAGGGUCGCGAAACCGCGAGGUGGAGCCAAUCUCAGAAAGCUGGUCUUAGUUCGGAUCGG
rnacentral:rRNA from 1 species